AGUAGGAAUUAUAAUUAGAUGUAAAAUUGUGUCUAUGAACUAUUGGAAUAGUUACGGGGAUGCUUUGGAAUCUCCUUUCUUGGCAUCUAAAAAGAUUGUCUGGAGACAUUUUGGCACCUGAUUGGAUUAGAAUUUUAGCAGGAAAUGGUUUAGAUGGAACUUCCAGAUUUAAUGAUUUCUCUCUUCCAGCUCUGGUCCAUCAGUGUCUAUAUGCGAGGAAAGAGAAGGCAUUGGCAGGGGAUGACCUGGGCAUAAGGGGCUGGCUGGGCAGAAGACAGAAUUCUUGAGGUCCAAGGAGCCACUAAAGGGAAACUGUGACCUCCCUCUCAAUCGCUGUCCAUUUUAGGAAUUGGGGUGUUCAGGGAAACUUCUGUACAAUCCCAACAAAGCAGUAGGGAAGGAGGGCAGCAUGGCAUAGGAGUUCACUUGAGUUUUGGCAUCAGACAGUCUUUGUUCAAAUCCUGGCACAACCGUUUGUUCUCUGUGUGACUUUGUACGAGUUCUUGGCUUAUCUAAACCUCAGUUUUCUAAUAAACACAAUGAAGACAACAAUGGGACUUGUCUCUUAGAAUUGUUGUGAGGAAGCACAGGUAAAAUACUUAAUGUAGUGCCCAUAAUAAAUGUUCAAUAAAUGUCAGUUAUUAUUUUUACUAUAAUAUUUGAGCCUUAUCCUUUUCUUUCUUUUUUUGGGGGGGGGGAUGGAGUCUCACUGUCACCCAGGCUGGAGUGCAAUGGCAUGAUCUUGGCUC
rnacentral:lncRNA from 10 species